CCUACGGGUGGCUGCAGUAAGGAAUAUUGGACAAUGCCCGCAAGGGUGAUCCAGCCAUGCCGCGUGCAGGAAGAAGGCCCUAUGGGUCGUAAACUGCUUUUACACCAGAGAAAACCCUCCUUCGUGAAGGGGGCUGAUAGUACGGUGAGAAUAAGCAUCGGCUAACUUCGUGCCAGCAGCCGCGGUAAGACGAAGGAUGCAAGCGUUAUCCGGAUUCAUUGGGUUUAAAGGGAGCGUAGGCGGCCUUAUAAGUCAGUGGUGAAAUCUCGCAGCUU
rnacentral:rRNA from 1 species